rnacentral:rRNA from 1 species
AUUGAACGCUGGCGGCAGGCCUAACACAUGCAAGUCGAACGAGUGGCGGACGGGUGAGUAAUGUCUGGGAAACUGCCCGAUGGCGGGGGAUAACUACUGGAAACGGUAGCUAAUAACGCGUACCAUAGGAUGUGCCCAGAUGGGAUUGGCUUGUAGGUGAGGUAACGGCUCACCUAGGCGACGAUCCCUAGCUGGUCUGAGAGGAUGACCAGCCACACGGGAACUGAGCCACGGGCCAGAAUCCUACGGGAGGCAGCAGUGGGGAAUAUUGCACAAUGGGCGCAAGGCUGAUGCAGCAAUGCCGCGUGUAUGAAGAAGGCCUUCGGGUUGUAAAGUACUUUCAGCGGGGAGGCGUUACCCGCAGAAGAAGCACCGGCUAACUCCGUGCCAGCAGCCGCGGUAAUUC